rnacentral:miRNA from 1 species
UGAGUCACCUGAGGAGGCUUUU